AGCUAGGGGGUGGAAGAUAGGAGAGGAGAGGCAUAGACUUUGCUAUAACUGACUUUUGUUGUUCUUGCUUGCAUUCUUCUCCUUUUUAAAUCGGCCCCCUUUUCACAUUGUGUGUCGCCAUAAACGGCUUUUCUUGUUGCAGGGCUAGCGGAGAGAAGACAGCGGAGCUCCACACACACAGACAGCGGGGCUGCGCGGGGCUGCACGCCGACCAAAACACACCGGCUGCCGGGAUCGAAACCGCGCGGACUACCGUAUAGGGGGAGCCGGAAUAGACGGAAGGGGGGAGAUGCAGGACGGAUGGUGUCUGGAGCUCUGCUCCGGACAGACCGAGGCUCCCUCAUCGGAGGGUGAAGCCAGAGGAUACGAAGGGAGAUUGAAGCGAAAUGGCAUCUUGUUUAAUUUCUGCCAAUCAAGACGAGAGGAAGACAACUCCCAAACUGGCAUGCCUCCGGAUGGCCCCGGCAAGACAAAGUUUGUUGCCAGUUUCCUAAAAAGUGGGGGGAAGAUUAUUCCACCAAAAUACAUCCCCAGAGGCUGGCAGGGCCCGGUCAAGGUGUUCCCCAUCCAUCCGUCCAUCCAUCCAUCCAUCCAUCUCCCCUUCUGUUCCUCGCGUGCAGAGUCUGGCUGUCGCAGCUCGAGGAUAUUUAGCCUGCAACAGGUGUGACGUACCGAGAGGGUGAAGACACGAUCAAGAGACCCGGACAAUGCAUGAACCGGAUGGGAACUGGUACGUUUAGGGAACACACCCCAUUACACACACACACACGUUCAACACACACACACAUACACACACUGUGUCCCAUAGAGAGAGACAGCAAUGCCUUGGAGGGUGC
ensembl:lncRNA